rnacentral:rRNA from 1 species
CGGAGGCGCUCAAAGGUUCCCUCAGAAUGGUUGGAAAUCAUUCAUAGAGUGUAAAGGCAUAAGGGAGCUUGACUGCGAGACCUACAAGUCGAGCAGGGUCGAAAGACGGACUUAGUGAUCCGGUGGUUCCGCAUGGAAGGGCCAUCGCUCAACGGAUAAAAGCUACCCCGGGGAUAACAGGCUUAUCUCCCCCAAGAGUUCACAUCGACGGGGAGGUUUGGCACCUCGAUGUCGGCUCAUCGCAUCCUGGGGCUGUAGUCGGUCCCAAGGGUUGGGCUGUUCGCCCAUUAAAGCGGUACGCGAGCUGGGUUCAGAACGUCGUGAGACAGUUCGGUCCCUAUCCGUCGUGGGCGUAGGAAAUUUGAGAGGAGCUGUCCUUAGUACGAGAGGACCGGGAUGGACAUACCUCUGGUGUACCAGUUGUCGUGCCAACGGCAUAGCUGGGUAGCUAUGUGUGGACGGGAUAAGUGCUGAAAGCAUCUAAGCAUGAAGCCCCCCUCAAGAUGAGAUUUCCCAACUUCGGUUAUAAGAUCCCUCAAAGAUGAUGAGGUUAAUAGGUUCGAGGUGGAAGCAUGGUGACAUGUGGAGCUGACGAAUACUAAUCGAUCGAAGACUUAAUCAA